AUACCCGCUGAACUUAAGCAUAUCAAUAAGCGGAGGAAAAGAAACCAACAGGGAUUGCCUCAGUAACGGCGAGUGAAGCGGCAACAGCUCAAAUUUGAAAUCUGGCUUCGGUCCGAGUUGUAAUUUGUAGAGGAUGCUUCGGCUUACGUACCGGUCUAAGUUCCUUGGAACAGGACGUCACAGAGGGUGAGAAUCCCGUUUGUGGCCGGCACUUCCGCCAUGUGAAGCUCCUUCGACGAGUCGAGUUGUUUGGGAAUGCAGCUCUAAAUGGGAGGUAAAUUUCUUCUAAAGCUAAAUACCGGCCAGAGACCGAUAGCGCACAAGUAGAGUGAUCGAAAGAUGAAAAGCACUUUGGAAAGAGAGUUAAAAAGUACGUGAAAUUGUUGAAAGGGAAGCGCUUGCGACCAGACUUGCCCGCGGAUGCUCAACCGGUCCUUCGGCCGGUGCACUCUUCCGCGGUCAGGCCAGCAUCAGUUCGGGCGGUCGGAUAAAGGCCUUGGGAAUGUGGCUCUCUUCGGGGAGUGUUAUAGCCCUUGGUGCAAUACGGCCCGCCUGGACUGAGGCCCGCGCUUCGGCUAGGAUGCUGGCGUAAUGGUCGUAAGCGGCCCGUCUUG
rnacentral:rRNA from 1 species